GGGAAUCUUCCGCAAUGGGCGAAAGCCUGACGGAGCAACGCCGCGUGAGUGAUGAAGGUCUUCGGAUCGUAAAACUCUGUUAUCAGGGAAGAACAAAUGUGUAAGUAACUGUGCACAUCUUGACGGUACCUGAUCAGAAAGCCACGGCUAACUACGUGCCAGCAGCCGCGGUAAU
rnacentral:rRNA from 1 species